GAUGAACGCUGGCGGCGUGCCUAAUACAUGCAAGUCGAGCGAACAGAUAAGGAGCUUGCUCCUUUGACGUUAGCGGCGGACGGGUGAGUAACACGUGGGUAACCUACCUAUAAGACUGGGAUAACUUCGGGAAACCGGAGCUAAUACCGGAUAAUAUUUCGAACCGCGUGGUUCGAUAGUGAAAGAUGGUUUUGCUAUCACUUAUAGAUGGACCCGCGCCGUAUUAGCUGGUUGGUAAGGUAACGGCUUACCAAGGCGACGAUACGUAGACGACCUGAGAGGGUGAUCGGCCACACUGGAACUGAGACACGGUCCAGACUCCUACGGGAGGCAGCAGUAGGGAAUCUUCCGCAAUGGGCGGAAGCCUGACGGAGCAACGCCGCGUGAGUGAUGAAGGUCUUCGGAUCGUAAAACUCUGUUAUGAGGGAAGAACAUACGUGGAAGGAAAUGUGGACGGCGUGACGGUACCUAAUCAGAAAGCCACGGCUAACUACGUG
rnacentral:rRNA from 1 species